rnacentral:rRNA from 1 species
UACAGAGGGUGCAAGCGUUAAUCGGAAUUACUGGGCGUAAAGCGUGCGUAGACGGUUAUGUAAGUCGGGUGUGAAAGCCCCGGGCUCAACCUGGGAAUUGCAUUCGAGACUGUGUAGCUAGGGUACGGAAGAGGGAAGCGGAAUUCCUGGUGUAGCGGUGAAAUGCGCAGAUAUCAGGAGGAACACCGGUGGCGAAGGCGGGUCUCUGGGCCGAUAUUGACGCUGAGGAGCGAAAGCGUGGGGAGCGAACAGG